CGGAGAGCAGCGGAAACUUAUGAAUCUCCGUCAGAUACCGAGAAAGACCGCCCUCCGAUCGGAUGGCGGGAAGCGCUGCGGCAAAUGACAUGGUUAGCCCUCCUCAAGCCUGCACGCCCCUGACGCGGGCUUGAUCGAAGCACGAUCAGGCUUGGGACGUGGUAGGCAGUGGUCAAUGCUUGAGAUGAGCCGGGCUAGUCGCCAGGCACUAAAGCGCUCAUGUUCCAUAUCCAAUUCCUCCUUCGAGCAAAAUGGGCAGAAACCGCCGGC
rnacentral:misc_RNA from 1 species